rnacentral:siRNA from 1 species
GAAUACUAUCACCGGGACUGC